GACGAACGCUGGCGGCGUGCUUAACACAUGCAAGUCGAACGGUAAGGCCUUUCGGGGUACCCGAGUGGCGAACGGGUGAGUAACACGUGGGUGAUCUGCCCUGCACUUCGGGAUAAGCCCGGGAAACUGGGUCUAAUACCGGAUAGGACUGCGCGGUGCAUCCCGUGUGGUGGAAAGAUUUAUCGGUGCAGGAUGGGCCCGCGGCCUAUCAGCUUGUUGGUGGGGUAAUGGCCUACCAAGGCGACGACGGGUAGCCGGCCUGAGAGGGCGACCGGCCACACUGGGACUGAGACACGGCCCAGACUCCUACGGGAGGCAGCAGUGGGGAAUAUUGCACAAUGGGCGCAAGCCUGAUGCAGCGACGCCGCGUGAGGGAUGACGGCCUUCGGGUUGUAAACCUCUUUCAGCAGGGACGAAGCGUGAGUGACGGUACCUGCAGAAGAAGCACCGGCCAACUACGUG
rnacentral:rRNA from 1 species